rnacentral:rRNA from 1 species
GACGAACGCUGGCGGCGUGCCCAAUACAUGCAAGUAGAACGCUGAAGGAGGAGCUUGCUCUUCUGGAUGAGUUGCGAACGGGUGAGUAACGCGUAGGUAACCUGCCUGGUAGCGGGGGAUAACUAUUGGAAACGAUAGCUAAUACCGCAUAACAGUAGAUGUUGCAUGACAUUUACUUAAAAGGUGCAAUUGCAUCACUACCAGAUGGACCUGCGUUGUAUUAGCUAGUUGGUGGGGUAACGGCUCACCAAGGCGACGAUACAUAGCCGACCUGAGAGGGUGAUCGGCCACACUGGGACUGAGACACGGCCCAGACUCCUACGGGAGGCAGCAGUAGGGAAUCUUCGGCAAUGGACGGAAGUCUGACCGAGCAACGCCGCGUGAGUGAAGAAGGUUUUCGGAUCGUAAAGCUCUGUUGUAAGAGAAGAACGAGUGUGAGAGUGGAAAGUUCACACUGUGACGGUAGCUUACCAGAAAGAGACGGCUAACUACGUG